rnacentral:rRNA from 1 species
UACGUAGGGUGCAAGCGUUGUCCGGAAUUAUUGGGCGUAAAGAGCUCGUAGGCGGUCUGUCACGUCGGCUGUGAAAACUCGGGGCUCAACUCCGAGCUUGCAGUCGAUACGGGCAGGCUAGAGUUCGGCAGGGGAGACUGGAAUUCCUGGUGUAGCGGUGAAAUGCGCAGAUAUCAGGAAGAACACCCGUGGCGAAGGCGGCUCUCUGGGACGGUACUGACGCUGAGACGCGAAAGCGUGGGGAGCGAACAGG